rnacentral:rRNA from 1 species
GUGCCAGCCGCCGCGGUAAUACCGGCAGCUCAAGUGAUGUCCCAUAUUAUUGGGCCUAAAGCGUCCGUAGCUGGCCGCGCAAGUCCGUCGGGAAAUCCACCUGCCCAACAGGUGGGCGUCCGGCGGAAACUGUGUGGCUUGGAACCGGAAGGCUCAGAGAGUACGUCCGGGGUAGGAGUGAAAUCCCGUAAUCCCGGACGGACUACCGAUGGCGAAAGCACUCUGAGAAGACGGCUUCGACAGUGAGGGACGAAAGCUCGGGUCUCAAACCGGAUUAGAUACCCGAGUAGUCC